AACCAGUCCAAUUUGACUGGUUUCUCUAAUCCUUCGUGAUUUCUGGAACCACUCGAUGUUUCCGAAUCAUCUACAAUUGAAGAAAUUGAUCUUUCAGACAUUUGAAGGCUGUUUUCUGGAAUAUGUGAUGCUGUUUAUUGUGAUUUGUAAAGCUGGACUUGUGAAGCUAUACUUUUUCUUGUGAUUUCUGAAGGGGUUGUACUUUUUCUUGUGAUUUCUGAAGUUGGACAAUUUUUAAGCUAUGUAGCAGUGUUUUUCAUGGUUA